rnacentral:rRNA from 1 species
UAGGGAAUCUUCCACAAUGGACGAAAGUCUGAUGGAGCAACGCCGCGUGAGUGAUGAAGGGUUUCGGCUCGUAAAACUCUGUUGUUGGAGAAGAACAGGUGUCAGAGUAACUGUUGACAUCUUGACGGUAUCCAACCAGAAAGCCACAGCUAACUACGUGCCAGCAGCCGCGGUAAUACGUAGGUGGCAAGCGUUGUCCGGAUUUAUUGGGCGUAAAGCGAGCGCAGGCGGUUUCUUAGGUCUGAUGUGAAAGCCUUCGGCUUAACCGGAGAAGUGCAUCGGAAACCAGGAGACUUGAGUGCAGAAGAGGACAGUGGAACUCCAUGUGUAGCGGUGAAAUGCGUAGAUAUAUGGAAGAACACCAGUGGCGAAGGCGGCUGUCUGGUCUGUAACUGACGCUGAGGCUCGAAAGCAUGGGUAGCGAACAGGAUUAGAUACCCUGGUAGUCCAUGCCGUAAACGAUGAGUGCUAAGUGUUGGAGGGUUUCCGCCCUUCAGUGCUGCAGCUAACGCAU